CGCGUAUUAGUUUGGUGCGUUCAGCGAUCCCUGAAUGGUCUGUGUGAUAAGCUGUGAGGAGGAUGUUUUUGCUCUCCUGGCGUUUUGUUUAGACAUCUGGGGGAGUGGGGAAAAUGGUGACCUCAGGUUUAAAGGCAUUGUCUCUGCUUUUCAAUUCUACAGCACAAAAGGAGUCAUUAUAAAAGAAGUGCGUGAGCACAAAAGUAAACACUGCAAAAGCUAAAGCUGUUGGCAAGUGACCCCUGGAGAGCAGCAUGGUUGGGAGAAAGAGGCGAUCGGCUGGAAUUUGUUUAGAGCCUGAGUGCAGAUCACUGCUCUCUUCUUCCAUUCUCGAUGACAUUUAAGAGCCAAUGGCAUCAGGCAACACUGAGGACCGGAGACCUGUUCACAGCAAUUCAAGAUCCUGCUGCUUAUCCAGCAUAAACACCACUGGUCGGGUGUUGAAAAAGAUGCAGCUGAUGCCAUCGUGACAUUUCCAGCUGAUUUGGAAAAGGAUGAAAGGAUGAUGAAAAUGAUGGCUAUGAUGAUGAUGAUGAUGAUGCAGUGUGAGCAGCUGUGUUGGGCUAAGCUCCCUUUGCUGUGAGGAAGCAUCAGUCACUCCUGUUUUUUGCAUCCACAACCUCGAUGGGACCUCCUGUAAUCACAAUUUUUAUCCAAAUUUAACCAAUGGGAAGCUGUCACAUUGAUUUUUGGUUGAGUUCAAUCACCUGGCAGAUUUACAUAUCCCAGCAGUUAGCCUGUUGGCGCAAAGAUGUGGGUGGCGGUAAACAGAAAUAUCAACGAGGAAAUGCAGAGUGCACAUAAUACUGAUUUGACAUUGACUAACGCACAGAAAGAAUUACGUAUAAAUCCUAGACAAAAAGCCCCAUUAGUGGAUGCUGCUGGGAAUUUUCAGUAUUUGUCACACUGCACAGUCAUGAGGAUAGUGACACUGUUGUGAUCUUAUACUGCCAUCUGGUGUUUGGGAUAAAGAAAAAAGCCUAUGAAAGUUCUGAACAUGUAAAAGCAAUUAAAUUAUGCAUUUUGCCUGGAUUUGGCAGGUACACUAUGCUAACCACCGUCUUUAAGAAUUAAUAGAAGAGUGAAAAAAUUCAGGGUCUCAUGCUAAUCCAUUUGACCAUACAUAACAGUAAUUCCAUUUAAAUGCUUCUCUCUGCUCCUCUUAAGACAUUGCAAGUAUUACCAUAGGUUCAAACAGUCAUUAAUGUUUUGGAAGCGCUUGUUCAAAAUAAAACUUGGAUCAGGAUUAUGUUUCACAAGGGAAGAAAUAUUCAAAAUACAUAUUUUAUUUUCAGAAAUCUAAAACGAACCUACAGUUUAAGAUCACUGUACAUUGUACAUAGCGGAAAUAUGCUCCUUUUGUUUGGUCUGUUAUGUGAUGUUUGAAUCAAGUAACAAUGGUAAGACUCUGUUUUGCAUGAGUAGAAUUUACUCAAAUUAAAGAAAAGAAAAUGUUCAGUGGGACCAAAUAUUGUCUUUUCUGGGUAAAUUUAUUAGAUUUCAGUCAAUUUUAGUCAGACAAAUUUACAAAGACUGAGACCAUGUCGUGACAUGAAAGAAGGAAGUGAGGGACAGACACUCUGGACAGCAUGUGUUGUGGUACAGGGGAGGUAUACAGAGAAACAAAGAGAUGGUUAGGUGGAUUUCAAUUCAAGGAUUUCAAUCUUAAAUCUUUUGCUAAAAUGAUAAACAAUAGUAACUCUGUAUUUUCUGUAAAACCUAAACUGUAUUGAUAAUUUGGCUAAGAAAAGAAGGUGCUGAGUGACA